rnacentral:lncRNA from 1 species
GCUGCCUUCAAGAUUUUAUUUUUAUUAUUGGUUUGCCAGAAGUUUGCACAUGGUAUAUCUAGAUGUGGGGGUCUCUUCUACUUAAAAUUUAUAUUUUAUUAUUUACAUACAAUAAAAUUCACACAUUUUAAGUGUGCAGGUUGAUGCAUUUUGGUAAUUAUAUACAAUUAUGUUACCACCACCACAAUCAAAAUAUAGAACAGUCCCUGCACCCUAAAACAUUUCUUGCUGCUUAUUUGCAGCCCAUCUCCUUCCCCACCCCGGCCCCAGGCAGCCACUAAUCUGGUUUCUGUCAUUAUAAUUUUGCCUUUUCUAGAGUUUCAUAUAAAUGGAAUCAUGCAGUACAUAGUCUUUUGUAUUUCAUUAUUUCUCUUAUAAUAUUUUUGAGAUUCAUUCAUAUUGUUACACGUAUAUUAAUAUGCCAUUCCUUUUUGUGGCUGAAUGGUAUUUCAUAGUGUAAUUUGUUUAUUCAUCAGUUGAUGGACAGUUGGGUUGCUUUCAGUUUUUUAUUUUUUAUGAAUAAUGCUGCUGGCCAGGCAUGGUGGCUCACACCUGUAAUCCCAGCACUUCAGGAGGCCAAGGUGGGCAGAUCACUUGAGGUCAGGGAUUCAGGACCAGCCUGGCCAAUGUGGUGAAACCCUGUCUCUACUAAAAAUACAAAAAUUAGCCAGUCGUGGUGGGGUGCAUCUGUAAUUCCAGCUACUCAGGAGGCUGAGGCACAAGAAAUGUUUGAAUCUGGGAGGCGGAGGUUGCAGUGAGCUGAGAUCGUGUUACUGAACUCCAGCUUGGGUGACAGAGUGAGACUCUGUCUCAAAAAAAAAAAAAAUGCUGCUAUAACCAUUCACUUACAAGUCUGUGAAAGUUUUCAUUUCUCUUGUAUUGGAAUUGUUGGGUUGUAUGGUAAGAAUAUGUUUAACUCUGCAAAUACUACCAUGCUGUUUUUAAAGUGGCUGCAUCAUCAUUCAUUCCCACCAGCAAUAUAUUGAAUCCCUGCCAACAUCUGGUAUUGUCAGUCUUUUUGUUUUUCUUCUUCUUUUUGUUUUUGGUUUUUUUUUUUGGAGGGCGGAUGGGCAUCCGGGGUGCUUGGAAAGCAGGCCUAAGAAGAAGCAGCUAAGGAUUCCUGACUCCAAGAAAGAGACCUGCAACCAGGGCCUCCCAGGGCAGGAGGGUGCAGAGGGCAGCCUGAAGCCUCCAGUUCUAACGGCUCCAAGCCAGGUACCAGGUAGGAGGGACGAUGUACCCUAAAUUACCCCUAAGCUUCUCAGAGUCCUAAAAGCAUCAGAGGGAAAGGCAGAGAACAUAAAAAAGAGUCAUUCAUAAAAAAAGAAAAAAGAUAAUUGAUUAAACAA